rnacentral:rRNA from 1 species
CAGCCGCCACGGUAAUACGGAGGGUGCAAGCGUUAAUCGGAAUUACUGGGCGUAAAGCGCACGCAGGCGGUCUGACAAGUCAGAUGUGAAAUCCCCGGGCUUAACCUGGGAACUGCAUUUGAAACUGUCAGGCUGGAGUCUUGUAGAGGGGGGUGGAAUUCCAGGUGUAGCGGUGAAAUGCGUAGAGAUCUGGAGGAAUACCGGUGGCGAAGGCGGCCCCCUGGACAAAGACUGACGCUCAGGUGCGAAAGCGUGGGGAGCAAACAGGAUUAGAUACCCCAGUAGUCCCUGUCUCUUAUAA